rnacentral:tRNA from 1 species
UAGAACGUGGUGUANUUAGGUAGCACGAAGAAUUUUGAGUUCUUAGGGUUAGGUUCGAGUCCUAUGGUUCUAG